UGGCCGCAGUACUUUAACUGUGCAAAGGUAGCAUAAUAAUUUGUUUUUUAAUUGGAAACUUGUAUGAAUGGUCAUACGAGGGAUUGACUUUCUUUAUCUUAUAUUAAUUAAUUUUAUUUCUCUGUGAAAAAGCAGAGAUGUAUUUAUUAGACGAUAAGACCCUUUAAAACUUUAUUUAUUAUAAAAGCAUGAGUUUUUAGUUGUUUUUUUGUGCUAUUUUUAGUGAAUUUUGUUGGGGCGACAGGUAAAUUUAUUGAACUUUACUUUUUUAUAUCACAAAUUAGUGUUUGUUUGAUCCAGGUUUAUGUUCUGAUUAAAAGCUUAAGUUACUUUA
rnacentral:rRNA from 1 species